rnacentral:rRNA from 1 species
UACGAAGGGUGCAAGCGUUACUCGGAAUUACUGGGCGUAAAGCGUGCGUAGGUGGUUGUUUAAGUCUGUUGUGAAAGCCCUGGGCUCAACCUGGGAACUGCAGUGGAAACUGGACAACUAGAGUGUGGUAGAGGGUAGCGGAAUUCCCGGUGUAGCAGUGAAAUGCGUAGAGAUCGGGAGGAACAUCCAUGGCGAAGGCAGCUACCUGGACCAACACUGACACUGAGGCACGAAAGCGUGGGGAGCAAACCGG